AGGUGAAGAGGAGAAUAAUGUCCAGGCAGGGGCCAGGGGAGCUCGUGCCAAGGCACUGAGGGGAAGUGCUGCAAUGAACCUCAGAGGCUGGAUCUUGCUGACUCAUCUGGGGUACCAAGGACAGGUAAAGUACACGGAGCCCAGGCCCAGGAGGGGACACCAGGCCAGCAGUUUCACUGACGCUCUUGUCAUGAUGACGACUGCCUCCCUCCUCCCCUUGGUCCCUGACUCAGUGUCUGCAGUGACCAGGCACCAGGCAGGGAGCAAGGAACCAAGCCUUUCACCUGCUCCCACCAACUCCUAUGGUACUCCCUUUCCAAGGCUAGGUCUCCUCUCCACCCGGUUCCUUAUCACGUACCGUGAGAAGCUGUCACCUUGGCAACUGUCACCUUCUGGUGAGAUUUACAGUUGCACUGCUACAACUGCUUGUGGCAUGGUAAAGUUGCACCAGGACCUCUGCUGUCCAUGAGAUCAAAGUUCCAGGCCACGAGACAGGUCUCACUAUGUUGCCCAGGCUGGUCUCAAAUUCCUGGAUUCAAACAAUGCUCCUGCCUUGGAUUCUCAAAGUACCAGGAUUAUAGGCAUAAGCCACUGCGCCGGGCCCAAAACUAGCUUCGGAGUGGAAAAAUUUCUGCUGCCCCACCAGCUUCAGGAAGUGGGAGUCAACUCUAGUCACUGUGGUGAUGCAGAGAUAAUACGGCUGAUAAACCCCUUAUUUUUCUC
rnacentral:lncRNA from 1 species